GACGAACGCUGGCGGCGUGCCUAAUACAUGCAAGUAGAACGCUGAAGGAGGAGCUUGCUUCUCUGGAUGAGUUGCGAACGGGUGAGUAACGCGUAGGUAACCUGCCUGGUAGCGGGGGAUAACUAUUGGAAACGAUAGCUAAUACCGCAUAAGAGUAGAUGUUGCAUGACAUUUGCUUAAAAGGUGCAAUUGCAUCACUACCAGAUGGACCUGCGUUGUAUUAGCUAGUUGGUGAGGUAACGGCUCACCAAGGCAACGAUACAUAGCCGACCUGAGAGGGUGAUCGGCCAUACUGGGACUGAGACACGGCCCAGACUCCUACGGGAGGCAGCAGUAGGGAAUCUUCGGCAAUGGACGGAAGUCUGACCGAGCAACGCCGCGUGAGUGAAGAAGGUUUUCGGAUCGUAAAGCUCUGUUGUAAGAGAAGAACGAGUGUGAGAGUGGAAAGUUCACACUGUGACGGUAUCUUACCAGAAAGGGACGGCUAACUACGUG
rnacentral:rRNA from 1 species